AGAGCUCAAAUUUGAAAGCUGGCACCUCCGGUGUCCGCGUUGUAAUCUCGAGACGUGUUUUCCGUGCGGCUCUAUGGACAAGUCCCUUGGAAUAGGGCAUCGUAGAGGGUGAGAAUCCCGUACUUGCCAUGGAAGAACCGUGCUUUGCGAUACACGCUCUAAGAGUCGAGUUGUUUGGGAUUGCAGCUCAAAAUGGGUGGUAGACUCCAUCUAAAGCUAAAUAUCGGGGAGAGACCGAUAGCGAACAAGUACCGUGAGGGAAAGAUGAAAAGCACUUUGGAAAGAGAGUUAAAAGUACGUGAAAUUGUCGAAAGGGAAGCACUUGAAGUCAGCCAUGCUGCUUGAGACUCAGCCUGGCCUUUGGGCUUGGUGUAUUUCUCGGUGGCAAGCCAGCAUUGGUUUGGGUCGUCGGAGAAGCGCAUAGGGAAUGUAGCGUUUCCGGACGUGUUAUAGCCUUAUGCAGGAUACGACGACCUGGAUCAAGGAACGCAGUGUGCCCUCUGGGCGGGUCUUCA
rnacentral:rRNA from 1 species